UACAGAGGGUGCGAGCGUUGUUCGGAAUUAUUGGGUGUAAAGGGCGCGUAGGCGGUGCGGUAAGUCACCUGUGAAAUCUCCUGGCUCAACUGGGAGCUUGCAGGCGAAACUGCCGUGCUGGAGUGUGGGAGAGGUGCGUGGAAUUCCUGGUGUAGCGGUGAAAUGCGUAGAUAUCAGGAGGAACACCUGUGGCGAAAGCGGCGCACUGGACCACAACUGACGCUGAGGCGCGAAAGCGUGGGGAGCGAACAGG
rnacentral:rRNA from 1 species